rnacentral:rRNA from 1 species
GAUGAACGCUGGCGGCGUGCCUAAUACAUGCAAGUCGAGCGGAGCGGGGACGGGUGAGUAACACGUGGCUAACCUCCUUUACGACUGGGAUAACGCCGGGAGCCCGAAGCCCAAUCGGAUACUUAUAGAUGGAUCCACGCUGCAUUCGCUAGUGGGUAGGGUAACGGCUUACCAAGCCCACGAUGCAUAGCCGACCUGAUAGGGUGAUCGGCCACACUGGAACUGAGACACGGUCCAGACUCCUACGGGAGGCAGCAGUAGGGAAUCUUGCGCAAUGGGCGAAAGCCUGACGGAGCCACGCCGCGUGAGUGAUGAAGGUCUUCGGAUCGUAAAACUCUGUUAUUAGGGAGGCGGUACCCAAUCAGUAAGCCACGGCUAACUUCGUGCCAGCAGCCGCGGUAAUAC